rnacentral:rRNA from 1 species
AACCUGCCCAAGAGACUGGGAUAACACCUGGAAACAGAUGCUAAUACCGGAUAACAACACUAGACGCAUGUCUAGAGUUUAAAAGAUGGUUCUGCUAUCACUCUUGGAUGGACCUGCGGUGCAUUAGCUAGUUGGUAAGGCAACGGCUUACCAAGGCAAUGAUGCAUAGCCGAGUUGAGAGACUGAUCGGCCACAUUGGGACUGAGACACGGCCCAAACUCCUACGGGAGGCAGCAGAG